rnacentral:lncRNA from 1 species
CCUGGUGAACAAGUUGGCUUAAGUGGGUGUCCCAGACUCAAGCUGCGCUCAGCCUUCAUCACAGUUCACAGAGUCCUAAGCCAAGAGUCAGCCUUGAGUUGCUGCUAGAGACCACAGAUACUCUGAAUUCCAACUUUAAUUGGCCUUCUGAGAAGACAAAGAGCCACAGGUCCCCAACAGGUCCUAGCUACUUCCUUCAGUCCCAAGAUACAGAUGGAGGCAGUAGCAUGGUAACACCUCAAAAUCAAGCAUCCAGCAGCUGAAUCCGAAAAACACAAGGAACAAGUUGCAACAAAGAAGAUAAGCUGUGGAAGCUAGGAUUUCAGAAAAUUUAGAUUUAAGGACAAGUGCCAAUCAAGGAUAAAGCUGAAACUGCAGAGAGCCCGGCAUUCAGAUUUCCAUUCUGCUGUAAAUUUAAUGCAAAUCUUCAGUUCAAGUGCACAGAAUUUGUUUAAAAACCCUGAAGAUGCUUUCAUGAUCUACACAUCUGUCAUUGCUGUUGCUUAUCACCGUUCCUGGGAAUCUGGCACUUCAUCAGCCGUCUUUCUUUCCAUGUAAUGAACACUGUUCUCCCUGACUCAGGUGUCAUCACCAUGAGAAGGACAUACCACCCCAGAAUAAGGAGAGGCAAAUGGAUUAGACUUGAAAUGAACCCAGAGCCUGGAUUCAAGCACAGCCAAACCCAGCUUGGAUCUCAUAAUUCCCAGUCCUGUGCAGAAGAACCGUGAGACCUACAAUAUAUUUCCAUACCUUCUUUCAAGAAAUAAAUGCUCAAUUUUGUAAGAC